AACGAACGCUGGCGGCAUGCUUAACACAUGCAAGUCGAACGAGACCUUCGGGUCUAGUUGCGCACGUGUGCGUAACACGUGGGAACCUGCCCUUAGGUUCGGAAUAACUCCCCGAAAGGGGUGCUAAUACCGGUUAAUGUCUUCGGACCUAAGAUUUACCGCCUUUGGGUGGGCCCGCGUUGGAUUAGCUCGUUGGUAUGGUAAAAGCCUACCAAGGCGCCGAUCCAUAGCUGGUCUGAGAGGAUGAUCAGGCCCGCUGGGACUGAGACACGGCCCAGUCUCGUACGGGCGGCAGCAGAGGGUAAUAUUGGACAAUGGGCCAAAGGCUGAUCCAGCACUGCCGCGUGAGUGGUGAAGGCCUUAGGAUUGUCAUGCUCUUUUACACGGAGUGGUAUUGACAGUACCGGGAGAAUAAGCUCCGGCUAACUCCGUG
rnacentral:rRNA from 1 species